rnacentral:rRNA from 1 species
GACGAACGCUGGCGGCGUGCUUAACACGUGCGAGUCGAACGGUAAGGCCCUUCGGGGUACACGAGUGGCGAACGGGUGAGUAACACGUGGGUGAUCUGCCCUGCACUUCGGGAUAAGCCUGGGAAACUGGGUCUAAUAACGGAUAGGACUCCGGACUGCAUGGGCUGGGGUGGAAAGCUUUUGCGGUGUGGGAUGGGCCCGCGGCCUAUCAGCUUGUUGGUGGGGUGAUGGCCUACCAAGGCGACGACGGGUAGCCGGCCUGAGAGGGUGACCGGCCACACUGGGACUGAGAUACGGCCCAGACUCCUACGGGAGGCAGCAGUGGGGAAUAUUGCACAAUGGGCGCAAGCCUGAUGCAGCGACGCCGCGUGAGGGAUGACGGCCUUCGGGUUGUAAACCUCUUUCAGCACAGACGAAGCGCAAGUGACGGUAUGUGCAGAAGAAGGACCGGCCAACUACGUGCCAGCAGCCGCCGUAA